rnacentral:rRNA from 2 species
CGGAUUAUUGGGCGUAAAGCGAGCGCAGGCGGUUUUUUAAGUCUGAUGUGAAAGCCUUCGGCUUACCCGGAGAAGUGCAUCGGAAACUGGGAGACUUGAGUGCAGAAGAGGACAGUGGAACUCCAUGUGUAGCGGUGGAAUGCGUAGAUAUAUGGAAGAACACCAGUGGCGAAGGCGGCUGUCUAGUCUGUAACUGACGCUGAGGCUCGAAAGCAUGGGUAGCGAACAGGAUUAGAUACCCUGGUAGUCCAUGCCGUAAACGAUGAGUGCUAAGUGUUGGAGGGUUUCCGCCCUUCAGUGCUGCAGCUAACGCAUUAAGCACUCCGCCUGGGGAGUACGACCGCAAGGUUGAAACUCAAAGGAAUUGACGGGGGCCCGCACAAGCGGUGGAGCAUGUGGUUUAAUUCGAAGCUACGCGAAGAACCUUACCAGGUCUUGACAUCUUCUGCCAAUCUUAGAGAUAAGACGUUCCCUUCGGGGACAGAAUGACAGGUGGUGCAUGGUUGUCGUCAGCUCGUGUCGUGAGAUGUUGGGUUAAGUCCCGCAACGAGCGCAACCCUUAUUAUCAGUUGCCAGCAUUCAGUUGGGCACUCUGGUGAGACUGCCGGUGACAAACCGGAGGAAGGUGGGGAUGACGUCAAAUCAUCAUGCCCCUUAUGACCUGGGCUACACACGUGCUACAAUGGACGGUACAACGAGUUGCGAAGUCGUGAGGCUAAGCUAAUCUCUUAAAGCCGUUCUCAGUUCGGAUUGUAGGCUGCAACUCGCCUACAUGAAGUUGGAAUCGCUAGUAAUCGCGGAUCAGCAUGCCGCGGUGAAUACGUUCCCGGGCCUUGUACACACCGCCCGUCACACCAUGAGAGUUUGUAACACCCAAAGCCGGUGAGAUAACCUUCGGGAGUCAGCCGUCUAAGGUGGGACAGAGAUUAGGGAAGUGUACAGAGCGCCGG